UUUCUUCUGCUGCAAAAUAUUAUAAAGUUAUUAUUACUUUGAGGUACUUUGAGAUAUUUCAAGAGAACGGAGAUAUGAACCCUCAAAUUCCACCCCGUCUCCACUUUCGCUGUUCCUUCACGUCACAAAGACACAGAAUCUGAAAUAUGUUACGUAUUUUUUUUAAUUUUUUUUCACAAUACGCGCCAUUUAACUACUGAGUCGUCCUACAGUAGAAUUUCAUAACCAAAGCGGGCGUAGUUGCUUUGCGGACAUCUAUUCAAAAUGCGAUUUUAUAAAGAUCUUGGGUGCCCUCCUCUACAGCAGGGAUGCGGGAACAAUGCGUUGGAUGUGGAUUCUGCACGUAGAAAACAAAUUACACGCACAUUUGCUACGGGUAAGAUGGGACCAGUCCUAAGCUGGUUUCUUGUGCGCAGGUUCUGGAAGGUGUGGAGCUCGUACCCCUAUUGGCCCGCAGAAGAGCCGUGGCCGAUAGACACCCUCUUUCCUCCACAGACGUAACCCGGAUCAGAAACUUCAAAGGACCCGCGGAUUGUCAGCGAGCGGUAGGAACCCACGAGUAUGUCCAGGAGUUGUCCCAGCAAGUGAUGACCAAGAAGGACCGCGUACAGAAAGCCCACCAGGAGGAGCUAGACAGCUGCCGGCGCCAUUUCGAAACCUGGCAGCAAUUCUGGGGGCGCCCGGGGCACGGGGCCCCACGCGAUGUCAAAGUCAAAGGAAACAUUGACAUCCUGCUGCAUCGGCUUCCAGUGAACUGAUGAGAAAUUCGAAUAUCCUGCCACUUCUCGUGUUUCCGAAGAACGACUUCGUUUAAAAAUGUGUACUAUAAUGAUGAAUAUUUUGGAAAUUUUAGUUAUACGAAAGUCCUGUAGGCGUCUUCACCUGUUUGUAAUGGUGAUGACAGUUUUAUAAAUUUCAGCUCAUAGGGCUUCGACAGAUACCAACUCCUCCGACUACCAGACGUAGGGACACAUUAAAUUUACUGUGUAGUUACAGAUGAAAAACUAAAAUUCAAUUCUCGAGUUCCGUGUUAAAAACACAAAUUUAUAUAUAAAAAAAAUUACAUUUACGAGUGAUCCGUCUCUUAAAUAUUUGACAUUUAGUCUCGAAAUCACCGCGACAGAACUCGAGUUGCGUUGACGCAUUCCAGAAGUAAGAGUAGCUACGUGUUCCCUGACGUGCAAGAGGGGCUUCAGCGCGUACAAUCGCGAAUGCAAUCAGCCUGCGUUUAUCUCCGGUGGCAUGUCGGACCGCGUAAUCGCCCGGAGAUACUCCUUCUGGAUCUAAACCUGUCUUGCACGAAAGGCAACGCAGUUACAUGCAGGUCAUCAGGUCGCCGAGGCAAGGCGCUGGCCGUCAAAGAGAAAAUGAACGCAGGUGUUGACUGACGGAUGUUUUGGAAAUCUGCACGUGUUUGACUGUCGCCAGCUAACGAGGUUCGUGAUUUGUACAAAGAUGCGUUGUAGCUUAUUCUUUUUGGGCCCGGGAGAUUAUAAAUCCUUCGAAACUGUGGCGGAAUCAGAACCAUUGGGAACGAUAGCAAAAUCAAAAUUACAUUCACGAAAAGUGAAGGAGGGAUAAUAUUUGGGGAGUUGUUGUUACCUUGCAGUUCAGAAUCUUCUGCCUUGCGGCGUCUCGCAUAAAAAUACGUAAAGGUGUCCGUGAGGGAGUGUGAGAGCAGGUUGCCGGGAAGAAUAUUUCGACCUAACGAGAGAGUGGACACUUCAGAGUUUCUAAAAUUCAUUAAAUAUUAUUAGGAGGUCUAAAUCAAGGGGGUUGAGACGUAACCUUACAUGGUACUGUAAUACUAACAUUGAUAUUGAGGAAAUUGGAAGUGAGAGAGUGGAGUGGAUUCAUCUGGCUCAGGAUAUGGUACAGUUCCAGGUUCUCGUGAAAACGGCAAUGCAAAUUUUGGUUCCGUAAAAGGAUAGUUUUUUUUUUUUAAAAAAAAUUAGCCUAGAAAGAAGGAGUCUACUGUCUUGAGCUAUAUAAGUGGAUGAUAUGGCCCGCGUUAAUUUUCGUGACAGUAAAUGCGAAACUUAGUAACAAAACUUGAAAAACAGAACGAGUAAUUACGAAAAUUGACGUCAUAACCGUGGAUUUUUUUUAAGUGUAAGGCAAUAUACGUAGGCGUGAAAAAAGUGUUAACUUUGAAGACGAAUUCUUCUUACUUGCAGCCGUGUGGACCUGAAAUCUCACCUAAUACGCGCCUUGACUUGGCUGCGGUGACUUAGCGUGCAGCUAAGAUGUUUCCAGCCAAUUUCACUCUCUGUGUUUACUUUCUGGCUUCAACCAUCCGCCCAGCUGCAGGUGGACGUACAGGGCGAUAACUUUUAUAACGGAUGCCUGCGUUACCGGACCCGAGCGGACAAAUUCUCGCCAAGGACACUCGCACUUGCCUAUCAAAAACAUAAUAUCUUUCAAUUUGCUUUCUGAAUAAAAUAUGUUAAUAUUUUAAUAUUUUCCGUCAAAUAACAAUUUUAAUACGAUAAUAAAAUAUAAAAUAUUUAAAAUAUUUUAUUAUCUUAUUAAAAUUGUGAUUUGACGGAAAAUAUUAAAAUAUUAACCUAAUUCACAAUAUGACGCAAAUAUACUACCUUAUAAAAUAUGUUAGUACGUACAUAAAGUAUCUAAAAGAAUUAUGAUCAUAUUUUAUUCUCUUGUCACAGAAAACAACUCUGUGAUAUAACAGAAAAAAACACUUAAUAUUUAACUUAUGACCUGAGCUCUAGAAUUUAUAAUUCAGACAGCAAAUGAAACUUUUGGGACAUAAAUUCAAAGUGAAAGUUCGGACGUACUUCUGAUCUUUAUCCCCCGAAUUUCCUCACGAUUCUUCAUGCCCUAUAACUUUGUUGUUUCGUGUGCCCUUCUUGCAUUAUUGUUAUACGGAAGUGACUUAGAAAUAAAUUGGCGCAUGCGUGUUGCCGAACAUUAGGCGAUGUAAUAGUUCCCACGGUGUGACGAAAUAAUUUUAGUUCAACGUCAAACAAUAUUACGUCACCAGAUAAUUUUAACGAAGCGCUAUCAGUGUACACGUUCAAGAGACGUGUAAGCAAUAAUACUAACCGGUCGCCAUAAUAAGACUCUUAAUAAAUGUAGAAAGUAGAAGUUAGCGUGUUUUUGUGAACACCCGGUAUUCCUAUGACAAUCAGUCACUGGGUGUAAAAGGACCUUCCUUUCGUAUCACCUGAUACAUAUCAAAUUAUGAUAAUGCAGAAAACUGCCCUUAUGCACUUCCUUUUUCGUUUAUUUCUUGUUGGUAACACUGUUCAGCGUUUGUUUUGUUUAAUCCAUUAUCAAAUGUUCACAGUUACGAAAAAUUAUAUGUACCGAUAUAUUUAGAGUUACAAUGUUUGUGAGAAAUAUAUAUAAUGUACGUUGAAUUGUUGUUAGAUUCUGUUACUUGUAAUGUUAAUGACACGUUUUAUGUUUAUAGACAGAAAUAUAAAUGUUUUGUGCAGAAA